AUGAACGCUGGCGGCGUGGAUAAGGCAUGCAAGUCAAGGGGGCUCGCAAGAGCAACCGGCAAACGGGGUAGUAACAGGUGGGAACGUACCAAGAAGUCACGAACAACCAGUCGAAAGAUUGGCUAAUACGUGAUGGUCCCUUCGGGGUAAAGAUUUAUCGCUUCUUGAACGGCCUGCUUUGUAUCAGCUAGUUGGUAAGGUAAUGGCUUACCAAGGCAAUGACGCAUAGGGGAGGUGAGAGCCUGACCCCCACCACUGGGACUGAGACACUGCCCAGACACCUACGGGUGGCUGCAGUCAAGAACCAUCCGCAAUGCACGAAAGUGUGACGGUGCGACGCCGCGUGGUUGAUGAAGCACUUCGGUGCGUAAAGGCCUUUUAUGAGGGAAGAAAUUUUGACGGUACCUCAUGAAUAAGAGGCUGCUAAUCUCGU
rnacentral:rRNA from 1 species